AAGGUAUGAUUCUAGCUCAGUUUUUGAUGAUUUCUAUGUUUUUGUGAUCGUUGCUCUGAGUACUAGCUAACCCGUACCCUAACUUCUGAAAUUUUUGAUGAUUUUGUGAAGUGAUAUUGUUGGAUUUAUGAGCUUUGUGAUGUUUAAUGAUAGAUUAUGAAGGUUUAAUGAUAGAUAUACAAGUUUUGUUAACUGAUUUUGAUGAAAAUGUCAAUUAGGGAUUAAAUUGAGAAAAAUAUAAAAUGUUGUGGUUAAAAGUGUGAAAUAAAUGAAAAUAUGGGUUGGUAGGGACCUAUAUAGAAAUUGGUCAAGCAUGGG
rnacentral:lncRNA from 1 species